GAGUGAACGCUGGCGGUAGGCCUAACACAUGCAAGUCGAACGGCUGCACAGUACGAGCUUGCUCUUACGGGUGGCGAGUGGCGGACGGGUGAGGAAUACAUCGGAAUCUACUUUUUCGUGGGGGAUAACGUAGGGAAACUUACGCUAAUACCGCAUACGACCUACGGGUGAAAGCAGGGGAUCUUCGGACCUUGCGCGAUUGAAUGAGCCGAUGUCGGAUUAGCUAGUUGGCGGGGUAAAGGCCCACCAAGGCGACGAUCCGUAGCUGGUCUGAGAGGAUGAUCAGCCACACUGGAACUGAGACACGGCCCAGACUCCUACGGGAGGCAGCAGUGGGGAAUAUUGGACAAAGGGCGCAAGCCUGAUCCAGCCAUACCGCGUGGGUGAAGAAGGCCUUCGGGUUGUAAAGCCCUUUUGUUGGGAAAGAAAAGCAGCAGGUUAAUACCCCGCUGUUCUGACGGUACCCAAAGAAUAAGCACCGGCUAACUUCGUG
rnacentral:rRNA from 1 species